rnacentral:rRNA from 1 species
CAGUCGCCACGGUAAUACAUAGGGUGCGAGCGUUAAUCGGAUUUACUGGGCGUAAAGCGUGCGUAGGCGGCUUCUUAAGUCGGAUGUGAAAUCCCUGAGCUUAACUUAGGAAUUGCAUUCGAUACUGGGAAGCUAGAGUAUGGGAGAGGAUGGUAGAAUUCCAGGUGUAGCGGUGAAAUGCGUAGAGAUCUGGAGGAAUACCGAUGGCGAAGGCAGCCAUCUGGCCUAAUACUGACGCUGAGGUACGAAAGCAUGGGGAGCAAACAGGAUUAGAUACCCCUGUAGUCCCUGUCUCUUAUAC